rnacentral:rRNA from 1 species
CACGUAGGGCGCAAGCGUUGUCCGGAAUUAUUGGGCGUAAAGAGCUCGUAGGCGGUCUGUUGCGUCCGCUGUGAAAGCCCGGGGCUCAACCCCGGAGGGUCAGCCGAUACUGGCAGACUAGAGUACGGGAAGAGGUAGCUGGAAUUCCCCGGUGUAGCGGUGAAAUGCGUAGAUAUCGGGAGGAACACCUGAGGCGAAGGCGG